GAUAGCUGGUUCUCCCCGAAAUGCAUUUAGGUGCAGCGUCGCGUGUUUCUUACCGGAGGUAGAGCUACUGGAUGGCCGAUGGGCCCCACAGGGUUACUGACGUCAGCCAAACUCCGAAUGCCGGUAAGUCCAAGAACGCGGCAGUGAGACGGCGGGGGAUAAGCUCCGUGCGUCGAGAGGGAAACAGCCCAGAUCGCCGGCUAAGGCCCCUAAGCGUGUGCUAAGUGGAAAAGGAUGUGCAGUCGCAAAGACAACCAGGAGGUUGGCUUAGAAGCAGCCACCCUUGAAAGAGUGCGUAAUAGCUCACUGGUCAAGUGAUUGUGCGCCGAUAAUGUAGCGGGGCUCAAGCACACCGCCGAAGCCGCGGCAACGCAGCAAUGCGUUGGGUAGGGGAGCGUCCUGCAUCCGGUGAAGCCACGGAGUGAUCCAGUGGUGGAGGGUGUGGGAGUGAGAAUGCAGGCAUGAGUAGCGAUAAGGCAAGUGAGAACCUUGCCCGCCGAAAGACCAAGGGUUCCUGGGGCAGGCCAGUCCGCCCAGGGUGAGUCGGGACCUAAGGCGAGGCCGACAGGCGUAGUCGAUGGACAACGGGUUGAUAUUCCCGUACCCGUGUGUGAGCGCCCAAUGACGAAUCAUCGGUACUAACCGCCCAAAAGGUGACUAACCGAGUCCUUUUAGGACAAGGGGGUCGCCGGCUGCGCGGGACCUUCGGUGGUAGUAGUCAAGCGAUGGGGUGACGCAGGAAGGUAGCCGUACCAGUCAGUGGUAAUACUGGGGCAAACCUGUAGCGCGAGAUCUAGGCAAAUCCGGAUCUCUUCAUGCGUGAGAGGUGAUGCAUAGCCGAGUGAGGCGAAUUCGGUGAUCCUCAGCUGCCGAGAAAAGCCUCUAGCGAGCACACACACGGCCCGUACCCCAAACCAACACAGGUGGUCAGGUAGAGAAUACCGAGGCGUACGAGUGAACUAUGGUUAAGGAACUCGGCAAAAUACCCCCGUAACUUCGGGAGAAGGGGGACCCCCUGCGGUCAAGGCCCACGCGGCCGGCAGCGGCGGGGGGUGGCACAAACCAGUGAGAAGCGACUGUUUACUAAAAACACAGGUCCGUGCGAAGUCGCAAGACGAUGUAUACGGACUGACGCCUGCCCGGUGCUGGAAGGUUAAGAGGACCCGUUAACCCCUCGGGGUGAAGCGGAGAAUUUAAGCCCCAGUAAACGGCGGUGGUAACUAUAACCAUCCUAAGGUAGCGAAAUUCCUUGUCGGGUAAGUUCCGACCUGCACGAAUGGCGUAACGACUUCUCAACUGUCUCAACCAUAGACUCGGCGAAAUUGCACUACGAGUAAAGAUGCUCGUUACGCGCGGCAGGACGAAAAGACCCCGGGACCUUCACUAUAGCUUGGUAUUGGCGUUCGAUACGGUUUGUGUAGGAUAGGUGGGAGACUGUGAAACUCACACGCCAGUGUGGGUGGAGUCGUUGUUGAAAUACCACUCUGAUCGUAUUGGACUUCUAACCUCGAACCGUCUAUCCGGUUCAGGGACAGUGCCUGGUGGGUAGUUUAACUGGGGCGGUUGCCUCCUAAAAUGUAACGGAGGCGCCCAAAGGUUCCCUCAACCUGGACGGCAAUCAGGUGUUGAGUGCAAGUGCACAAGGGAGCUUGACUGCGAGACUGACACGUCAAGCAGGGACGAAAGUCGGGACUAGUGAUCCGGCACCCCCGAGUGGAAGGGGUGUCGCUCAACGGAUAAAAGGUACCCCGGGGAUAACAGGCUGAUCUUCCCCAAGAGUCCAUAUCGACGGGAUGGUUUGGCACCUCGAUGUCGGCUCGUCGCAUCCUGGGGCUGGAGCAGGUCCCAAGGGUUGGGCUGUUCGCCCAUUAAAGCGGCACGCGAGCUGGGUUUAGAACGUCGUGAGACAGUUCGGUCUCUAUCCGCCGCGCGCGUCAGAAGCUUGAGGAAACCUGUCCCUAGUACGAGAGGACCGGGACGGACGAACCUCUGGUCCACCAGUUGUCCCACCAGGGGCACCGCUGGAUAGCCACGUUCGGACAGGAUAACCGCUGAAAGCAUCUAAGCGGGAAACC
rnacentral:rRNA from 1 species